rnacentral:lncRNA from 1 species
GGCACAAUCUGACGCCAAAACGGCGAUCCGGGUCCACCAUCAAUCCCGACGGCAUCCACUAGUCCGGAACAGUCUAAACACUACUGUAAAAAUAGGCUCGGCAUCCCAGCACGAGCGUAACAGCUAUCUAAACUACCUGGAGUACUCACCACAAGGAUACUGCGGCGAUACAAAAAUACAACGGCUCCUAGAACUAAAUCAGGCAGUUUAAACAUAUGACAGGUCCAAAACGCUGGUUUUCUCCUAUGUUAAAUCCAAGUCCAACAUGUAUAAUUAUUAACAAUUAAUACCAUGCUCCAAAUUCAGUUCAUAUGUCAAAAGCAUGCACAAUCCAUGAAUUUGAGCUAGAACAAUAGUAACGUAAAAACGCGAAAUAUACAUGUCGACCAACAAGACCCUAGGAGUAGAAAUCCGAUGAUAAACCCACCUUAAACGCUACUUCCAAUCCUGCGCGACGUCGAGAACGGCGGAAUCGCACCCUCGCCCGGCCUCCCCGCGAUGCUACGACGACAAACGUACACUCGACUCGCUCGCUCACCCGCCUCGCUCGUAAGAAGGAAACCAAGUCCCUGCUAAUUAAUUAGCUCAACUUGGGAAUAUAAAGCAACAACAAAAAUUAAAAGAAAGGAGGAUAAGGAUGGGAGCACGUUGUGAGAUCCCAGAUAGUCCUAUAUAUGAGAUAUAAUAGGGCUAAAUUCUUAACCCGGCUUAAGCAUUUUGGGUGGUAGCUAGACCUAAGAAGUUAACAGAGUUAAGCGUGCUAGGACGGGAGUAGUCCUAGGAUGGGUGACCUCCUGGGAAGUCGGGGCGCCACAGAUGGUAUCAGAGCCAAUUACCAGCCGGAAGUGUGAGAUGAGUCUCGGCUGAGCCAGGGUCUGGAUGACGGGCUAGCGAGAUGAGUCUCACAUCGCCUGGUACUUGUGAGUCUGAGCCUGACGAGGACGUCAGGGCUUAAAGGAGGGAAGAUUGUGAGACCCCAGAUAGUCCUAUAUAUGAGAUAUAAUAGGGCUAAACUCUUAACCCGGCUUAAGCAUUUUGGGUGGUAGCUAGACCCAAGAGGUUAAGAGAGUUAAGCGUGCUAGGACGGGAGUAGUCCUAGGAUGGGUGACCCCCUGGGAAGUCGGGGCGCCACACACGUGGACUCCACCGCCUAAAUAAACACAAUUGCCCACAAGCCCCUAUACAACUAGGCACAACUUUAGUUCUCUACAAUAUAAAUGUUGUCAAUU